rnacentral:lncRNA from 1 species
GUGGUAAAACGCCAAUACUGGGGAGCUGGCUCUGUUGGUUAAGUUUUCAGUGGGGCCAGAGCUGGGAGGGUGAUGUGCCUCAUUCUGAUUGGAGAUAUGUCACAUAAUUGACGUGGGCUGAGUUCCCACUACAUUUUACCUGCAGGAAUCAAUGCUACACCCAAGAUCUGGUUAAUUUAGGAUGGCACUUCCACGCCAAGCAGCCCAGAUGACCAUCCCUCAAACCACAGGCUUCCCCAGG